GACGAACGCUGGCGGCGUGCCUAAUACAUGCAAGUAGAACGCUGAAGGAGGAGCUUGCUCUUCUGGAUGAGUUGCGAACGGGUGAGUAACGCGUAGGUAACCUGCCCGGUAGCGGGGGAUAACUAUUGGAAACGAUAGCUAAUACCGCAUAAGAGUAGAUGUUGCAUGACAUUUGCUUAAAAGGUGCAAUUGCAUCACUACCAGAUGGACCUGCGUUGUAUUAGCUAGUUGGUGGGGUAACGGCUCACCAAGGCGACGAUACAUAGCCGACCUGAGAGGGUGAUCGGCCACACUGGGACUGAGACACGGCCCAGACUCCUACGGGAGGCAGCAGUAGGGAAUCUUCGGCAAUGGACGGAAGUCUGACCGAGCAACGCCGCGUGAGUGAAGAAGGUUUUCGGAUCGUAAAGCUCUGUUGUAAGAGAAGAACGAGUGUGAGAGUGGAAAGUUCACACUGUGACGGUAUCUUACCAGAAAGGGACGGCUAACUACGU
rnacentral:rRNA from 1 species